rnacentral:rRNA from 1 species
UGCAUGUCUCAGUACUUGCCGACCUAAGGCGAAACCGCGAAUGGCUCAUUAAAUCAGUCAUGAUUUAUGGGAUGUUGUUAAAUUCUUACUCGGAUAACUGUGGUAAUUCUAGAGCUAAUACGUGCAAUCCGUUUCCGACCUCGGCCCUCGCGGGUCGAGGGAAGGGCGCAUUUGUUAGACCAAAAACCGGGUGGACAGUCGUUGGGCAAUCUCCGUCCGCGGUAGCAUUCGCCCACGUCCAUUCCUCUACGGUUAUGUGGUGAAUCUGAAUAACUACAGCCGAGCGCUGAGGUCUUAGUACCGGCGCCGUAUCCUUCAAGUGUCUGCCUUAUCAGCUCUCGAUUGUAGGUUAUUCGCCUACAAUGGCUGUAACGGGUAACGGGGAAUCAGGGUUCGAUUCCGGAGAGGGAGCCUGAGAAACGGCUACCACAUCUAAGGAAGGCAGCAGGCACGCAAAUUACCCAAUCCCGGCUCGGGGAGGUAGUGACGAAAAAUAACGAUGCGGGACUCUUCCGAGGCCUCGCAAUCGGAAUGAGUUCAAUUUAAAAACUUGGACGAGGAUCCAUUGGAGGGCAAGUCUGGUGCCAGCAGCCGCGGUAAUUCCAGCU